AUUUUAAAAAUAAAAUAAAAAAAAUAAUUAAUCAAAAUAUUUUCAAUUCAUUAAUUUAAUGAAUUAAAAAAAUAAAAAAUUAGUAAAUCUCUAAAAACCAUUCCCUCCAAAAACCGGCAGCGAUUCGAUUUGGCAACGGUGAAGUUUUCUCGUGAAUUUCCUACAGAGAGGAUGAGCAGCCACCAUCCGCUGUCUUUCCUGUCUGUUGGAUUAGCAUAUAUAGUGAAAUGAUUUUGCUCAUUCUAUGUUUGAUGAAAUGCUUAAGAAAAGGCGGUUUGGAGUUCUGAGGUACUAUGCUUAGCCAAGUGAUAGUAAUAAAAGGAAGACAUCGGUAGGUAACAUUUAUUCUUGGAAAUUCGUAGUAGGUUAUUGUUUCAAUUGAUUUUGUUUUAGCAGUAGGCGAUUGUGCUAAAUCUGGUGUGCUUAAGUUGAGCUAUAUUGGGAGAAGUUACGCUUACCCGUUAACGAGGUUAUUUUAUUUCACGUUUUUACCUAACAGGGACGUUCAUCUGUCUCUGUCCCUCUCUCCAAUUGGAAAGUCAACAAGAAUUUCCUGUAUAAUUAGCCUAUUUAGUGCAUGUUUGGCCGGCUUUACGUGCUUUCCAUUGGCCUUUUCUAGCCAGCCGAAUUAGAAUGGUAAUUCAGUUGUGGCAGGUCUGAUUCAUCAAGCAGGCGGUCUUCUCCCACGUGACUGUUUAUCUCCACCCAAGCCUUGUGCAUAGCAUCUGGAUGGUUGUGGAGAAGUGAUAAUGCCCAU